AUUUCAGUGAUACAGUUAUGUGACAGUGUUACAUUGAGACACUAAAUAAAACAUCUGCGUUCCUGUGAACAUAACCAAAGAAAUUCAUGAUUGUGAACUUUUUUGUGUGUGUGUGUGUUCUCAGAUCCUGCUGUUAUAAAUGCUCUCGAUUAUCAAUACUAUCUGAUAUUUCUGGUCUUUCUGCUCUGUCUGAUGCUGCUGCUGGCGGCUGGAUGCAUCUUCUGGAGAUUUGCAAGAGCUAAAAAAGGAAGCAGAGGAAGCCAAGAGAUCCAGAGAUCAAAUGAUGAGGAUGAAGUGACAUACUCCACCGUGAUGCAGAUUAAAGGAAGAAAACCAGCAGAAAAACAGCAACAGGAUGACGUGACUUACUCCAGCGUCACAGAUAUUAAAGGGAAAAAGAGACCUCACAAAAAGGAAGAGGGGGUUGUGUAUUCAACUGUGGCAGACAUGAGCAGAUCUACUCAGGAUGAUGUUACGUAUUCAUCUGUAGUCCACAUCAAAUCUCACAAACCAAAAUCCAGACAGAAUAAUGCUGAGGAGGCCACCAUCUACGCAAGUGUGCAGAAAGAUAAAACAUGACACAAACACACACCUAAAACAGCAUCUCAGAUAUUCUGCACUGGGUUAUUGUUUUAAGGAGUUAUUUUGUAAAAAAUUAUGACAUUGUUAGAAAAAAAUGCUACAUUUCUGUUUUUCAAAAAUAUUUUGUGUUUUGAAGAUGAUUGGGCGAUUCAGUUUAUUUCUUAAAUGCAAUAAUACACAUAGUAUUCUUACUUUGGAGGCUCUAAAUAAAACAUAUUUAUGUUUAAUUGCUUAAAUAUUUAAUUAAAAGCUAACAUUUAUUCCACACUGAAAAAAAUUGCGUAGAAACAGUUUUCAUUUAGAAAUUGCUAGUAAAUUUCACAAAUGUUUACAAAGUUGGCAAGUAACAUUGAAAUAAUUGUGACAUUUUGAAGUAGACAAAUAAUAUUUAAUUUAUCAGCAAGUUCUGGUUUCAGCUUUUUUUAAGAAACUAAAUGUACAAACAAAGAACAUUUUAAAUUCUAUGUACACAGUAUCAUUAAAACUGUCUGUUUGAAAUGUAAUUACUCGUUUGUUUCUUUAUUUAAAGCUUCCAAGUCUCUCUUUUCAAGCAAAAGCAAAAUGAAUACAGAUACAAAACAAUGAAAUAUCCAUUUUCACAAUAAUAUUCUUCACUCUAAAACCUUAAAACUUCACACUAAAGCAUCUGUGAAGGAAUGCAAUUAAAACAUAUUAUGAAUAGAGCAAAACAAAUAUUACAACAAAACAGUUUUAUAAAUUAAAAUUCUCAAAAUUAUACGGUGCAUUUUCUCAUAUUAUUAGACUAGAAACUAAUUAAAACCGUUAAGAAGCACAGUUGUCAGAGAUUGAUAACUUUAAACUUAUGACCUGAAAUUAUUUCAUAUGAACUCAUAACUGUUUUGAUAAAUGAUGUAUUAUACAGCAAUGUAUUUUAUGAUUUUAAAUUCUAAUACAGUCGGGUCCAAAAGUCUAGACCCCUAGUGAAAAUAUUUCUAAUUUCAUUACAAAUGAGAUGAUGGGAAUAAAAUUUUGAGUCAAAAAAAGUUCUGUAGAAACGUAAGAAUGCCUGAUGAUCAUCAUUUUUGUUUUUGGACGGCAAUAUUAAUAUAUAUAUAUAUAUAUAUAUAUAUAUAUAGCAUAUAUACAGUAUGU
rnacentral:lncRNA from 1 species